AGGACGAACGCUGGCGGCGUGCUUAACACAUGCAAGUCGAGCGGUGAUCCUCCUUCGGGAGGUGAUCAGCGGCGAACGGGUGAGUAACACGUGGGCAACCUGCCCUCACACUGGGAUAACCUCGGGAAACCGGGCUAAUACCGGAUACGACCUCGAGCGGCAUCUCUUGAGGUGGAAAGCUCCGACGGUGAGGGAUGGGCCCGCGGCCUAUCAGCUUGUUGGUGGGGUAAUGGCCUACCAAGGCGACGACGGGUAGCCGG
rnacentral:rRNA from 1 species